UUGAACGCUGGCGGCAGGCCUAACACAUGCAAGUCGAGCGGUAGCACAGAGAGCUUGCUCUCGGGUGACGAGCGGCGGACGGGUGAGUAAUGUCUGGGAAACUGCCUGAUGGAGGGGGAUAACUACUGGAAACGGUAGCUAAUACCGCAUAACGUCGCAAGACCAAAGUGGGGGACCUUCGGGCCUCAUGCCAUCAGAUGUGCCCAGAUGGGAUUAGCUAGUAGGUGGGGUAAUGGCUCACCUAGGCGACGAUCCCUAGCUGGUCUGAGAGGAUGACCAGCCACACUGGAACUGAGACACGGUCCAGACUCCUACGGGAGGCAGCAGUGGGGAAUAUUGCACAAUGGGCGCAAGCCUGAUGCAGCCAUGCCGCGUGUGUGAAGAAGGCCUUCGGGUUGUAAAGCACUUUCAGCGGGGAGGAAGGCGAUAAGGUUAAUAACCUUGUCGAUUGACGUUACCCGCAGAAGAAGCACCGGCUAACUCCGUGCCAGCAGCCGCGGUAAUACGGAGGGUGCAAGCGUUAAUCGGAGUUACUGGGCGUAAAGCGCACGCAGGCGGUCUGUCAAGUCGGAUGUGAAAUCCCCGGGCUCAACCUGGGAACUGCAUUCGAAACUGGCAGGCUAGAGUCUUGUAGAGGGGGGUAGAAUUCCAGGUGUAGCGGUGAAAUGCGUAGAGAUCUGGAGGAAUACCGGUGGCGAAGGCGGCCCCCUGGACAAAGACUGACGCUCAGGUGCGAAAGCGUGGGGAGCAAACAGGAUUAGAUACCCUGGUAGUCCACGCCGUAAACGAUGUCGAUUUGGAGGUUGUGCCCUUGAGGCGUGGCUUCCGGAGCUAACGCGUUAAAUCGACCGCCUGGGGAGUACGGCCGCAAGGUUAAAACUCAAAUGAAUUGACGGGGGCCCGCACAAGCGGUGGAGCAUGUGGUUUAAUUCGAUGCAACGCGAAGAACCUUACCUGGUCUUGACAUCCACAGAACUUUCCAGAGAUGGAUUGGUGCCUUCGGGAACUGUGAGACAGGUGCUGCAUGGCUGUCGUCAGCUCGUGUUGUGAAAUGUUGGGUUAAGUCCCGCAACGAGCGCAACCCUUAUCCUUUGUUGCCAGCGGUUAGGCCGGGAACUCAAAGGAGACUGCCAGUGAUAAACUGGAGGAAGGUGGGGAUGACGUCAAGUCAUCAUGGCCCUUACGACCAGGGCUACACACGUGCUACAAUGGCAUAUACAAAGAGAAGCGACCUCGCGAGAGCAAGCGGACCUCAUAAAGUAUGUCGUAGUCCGGAUUGGAGUCUGCAACUCGACUCCAUGAAGUCGGAAUCGCUAGUAAUCGUAGAUCAGAAUGCUACGGUGAAUACGUUCCCGGGCCUUGUACACACCGCCCGUCACACCAUGGGAGUGGGUUGCAAAAGAAGUAGGUAGCUUAACCUUCGGGAGGGCGCUUACCACUUUGUGAUUCAUGACUGGGGUG
rnacentral:rRNA from 1 species